rnacentral:misc_RNA from 1 species
GAUGAAGAACGUAGCGAAAUGCGAUACGUAAUGUGAAUUGCAGAAUUCAGUGAAUCAUCGAAUCUUUGAACGCAUAUUGCGCUCUCUGGUAUUCCGGAGAGCAUGCUUGUUUGAGUAUCAGUAAACACCUCAACUUCCAUAUCUUUUUUGAAAUGGGAGUUGGACUUGAGUGAUCCUAACGCUUUUCCUCACCGAAAAGUGGCGGGUUACUUGAAAUGCAGGUGCAGCUGGACUUUUCUCUGAGCUAUAAGCAUAUCUAUUUAGUCUGCCUAAAAAACAGAUUAUUACCUUUGCUGCAGCUAACAUAAAGGAGAUUAGUUCUUGUGCUGACUGAUGCAGGAUUCACAAAGACGGCUUCGGCCGACUUUGUAAACUCGAUCUCAAAUCAAGUAAGACUACCCGCUGAACUUAAGCAUAUCAAUAAGCGGAGGA